UACGGGGGGAGCAAGCGCUGUUCGGAUUUACUGGGCGUAAAGGGCGCGUAGGCGGCCACCGCAAGUCGACUGUGAAAUCUCCGGGCUUAACCCGGAAAGGUCAGCCGAUACUGCGGGGCUAGAGUGCAGAAGGGGCAACUGGAAUUCUCGGUGUAGCGGUGAAAUGCGUAGAUAUCGAGAGGAACACCUGCGGCGAAGGCGGGUUGCUGGGCUGACACUGACGCUGAUGUGCGAAAGCUAGGGGAGCGAACGGG
rnacentral:rRNA from 1 species